GCGUCCUAUUUUGAAGAGGGAUGGCCGUGUGAAGAGGGAUGACCAUCAGGGUAUAUUCAUUUUGUUAACGACAUGAUCCUUAUACUGACGACGUUAUUCCUUGAGUAUUAGUGAGCCACGUAAUUGCAAUUUAAGAUUACCCCUAUAGUGAAGACACUAGACUGGAGUAUUGAAACGUCAGGUCGUGAACAUAAUUUGUUCCGUGAACAGCAAGCAAAAUAAAAUAACUCCACCAAUCAGGACACAAGAAACAUGGCACAUGAUUUUAAUGCUCCUACCCAGGGUUGGUAAGAUUGGCCUUUUUGAGGCCAAAUAACUCGAUUUUGGCUUCUUUUUUUCUAGCUUGGCCUCGAAACAAUUUGGUCUUUUGGCUUUUUUUUGGC